ACACGUGCUCCGGGGUCGGUGGGAAUCCGAACCGGCGGUGACAGUCCGCGAGCCCUUCGUUCUCCGAGGGGUUGAUCCGGUGGAAAUCCGGGACCGACGGUGAUGCGACGAAAGUCGCUAGUCCGGAUGGGAGGCAGCACGAGG
rnacentral:ncRNA from 1 species